rnacentral:pre_miRNA from 1 species
CACCAGAGCAGGUACUUGCCAGUCAGUCUCUGGCUAUAUUCCAGGACUCAGUAGAUCCUGGAUAUAGUCAGAGGCGGACUGUAAACUAACCCAG